rnacentral:rRNA from 1 species
UAAGCGGAGGAAAGAAACUACAGGAUNCCCCUAGUACUGCGAGUGAAGCGGGAAAAGCUCAAAUUUAAANUCUGGUGGUCUUUGGCCAUCCGAGUUGUAAUUUAGAGAAGCGUCUUCCGCGCUGGACCGUGCACAAGCCUCCUGGAAUGGAGCGUCAUAGAGGGUGAGAAUCCCGUCUUUGGCAUGGACACACCAGGGCUUUUGUGAUGCGCUCUCGAAGAGUCGAGUUGUUUGGGAAUGCAGCUCAAAAUGGGUGGUGAACUCCAUCUAAAGCUAAAUAUUGGCGAGAGACCGAUAGCGAACAAGUACCGUGAGGGAAAGAUGAAAAGCACUUUGGAAAGAGAGUGAAACAGUACGUGAAAUUGUUGAAAGGGAAACGCUUGAAGUCAGUCACGUCGACCGAGACUCAGCCUUGCCUCGGCUUGGUGUACUUCUCGGCUGACGGGUCAGCAUCAAUUUUGCCCCUUGGAUAAUGGCGAGGGAAAUGUGACACCUUUAUGGUGUGUUAUAGUCUCUCGUCGCAUGCAAGGGUUGGGAUUGAGGAACUCAGCACGCGCCCUUUGGGUGUCGGGGCUUUGCCCACGAUACGUGCUUAGGAUGUUGGCAUAAUGGCUUUAAACGACC